GGAGGGUGCAAGCGUUGUUCGGAAUUAUUGGGCGUAAAGAGCGUGUAGGCGGUUCGGUAAGUCAGAUGUGAAAGCCCUGGGCUCAACCCAGGAAGUGCAUUUGAAACUACCAGACUUGAGUACGGGAGAGGAGGGGGGAAUUCCCGGUGUAGAGGUGAAAUUCGUAGAUAUCGGGAGGAAUACCAGUGGCGAAGGCGCCCCUCUGGACCGAUACUGACGCUGAGACGCGAAAGCGUGGGGAGCAAACAGAUUAGAUACCCUGGGUAGUCCACGCCGUAAACGAUGAGCACUAGGUGUAGCGGGUAUUGACCCCCCUGCUGUGCCGUAGCUAACGCAUUAAGUGCUCCGCCUGGGGGACUACGGUCGCAAGACUA
rnacentral:rRNA from 1 species